AUCAGUGAUCCUGCAGAGUCCUGUCCUCCCUGUGAUGGAGGGAGAUGACGUCACUCUGCUCUGUAAAACAAAGACCACUCCCUCCAACCUCCCAGCUGCUUUCUAUAAAGAUGGCUCCCUCAUCAGGAAGCAGCCUACAGGUCACAUGACCAUCCAGCAUGUUUCCAGGUCUGAUGAAGGCCUCUACAAGUGUGACAUCAGCGGUCAUGGAGAGUCUCCAUCCAGCUGGAUCACUGUCACAGGUGACACACUCACCUGUCUGUGUUUCUGCAGCUUUCAACAUUCACAAUGUGACGACAACUUAAUGACUGUGUUUGCUUUAUUUUAGACAAACACACCACCACACCUCCACCUACAUCUACACCCCCUCCUGAUUCCACUUCCAUCACUCUUCGUCCAUCAUCCUCUCCUGCUGUUCUCUCUGUGUUUUCAUGUGUUGGAUCAGUGUGUCUUGUGUUACUAGUUCUGCUGGUGAGACGAUCAGUUCACAGGAAACCUGAAGAGAGUGCUGAAGACCACUCAGCAGUGACAACAGAUGAGGUCACUUAUGGGCAAAUCAUCAUCAACAAGAAACAAGAAAAUUCAAAUAUGAGAGAAAGUGAUUCAGCUGCUGUCUACACAGCAAAGAGAACAGAAACCAUCAAUUAUGGAGAAAUAGCCGUCACACCAAAGAGGACCAGAGACGUAAAACCAGAGCCAGGUGUCGUCUACUCUUCACUGAAGUAGUCCACCAGUCCAACCACUGACGUCCAGCUGCUGGUCUCUAACUGGUCCCCCCAGCACCUCAGA